rnacentral:misc_RNA from 1 species
UUUCCGUAGGUGAACCUGCGGAAGGAUCAUUCAUAAUAAGUGUUUUAUGGCACUUUUUUAAAUCCAUAUCCACCUUGUGUGCAAUGUCAGGGUUGGUCUCUAUUGAUCAGCCUCAAACAUCAACUAUUAUCUAAACUCUUUGUCUGAAAAAUAUUAUGAAUAAAACAAUACAAAAUACAACUUUCAACAACGGAUCUCUUGGCUCUC